CGUGCAGACAUCUACAACCUUCGAUCUCUUGACGAGUUUAUUGUUGGCUAAAACCAACCAGGAUGAAUGCGGGCGUUGGAAGUAGAAUAUAUACAUAUACAUAUAAAAUUGGUAAGUGGUGCCAACACGUCUUCCUUGGCUGAGUAGACACAGGCUCUGGAGGGGGUAGUAGCUGCUUUUCAGUGUGAGUUUGUCACCCUACUUCUGUACGACUCAAAUGUGGCCUUUGCAGCUGAUGAUACAAAAUCUUUCCCCAUCAGAUCGACCCUGUUGAUCUCUACACUAUUGGCCAGUUUUGUCUGAUGCAUUGGCCCCAGUAGUAACUCCUGUCUUUGUUUUCUUCUUAUCUUUAUCAGAGACUAUUGCUUGUUCAUGGGAACUGGGCUUACUCUAUUUUUUCCAGCAUUCAGAUGGCUUAUUUUGACCUGUUAACUUUCUAUAGGUUGGGAGCCACGUGUACCAGUGUGUUGAUCUUGGCUUGAUUCAGUCUGCCUAGUAACAGGUGAGGUUUCUGCUUUCUAGCUGUCAAACCCCACAGCAAAAUUUGUCCAACUGGGCCUAACCUCAGGACCCAUUUCCAAGUUGGGUAUAAAACUGGACUGGACAGUCAUUAGGACUGACAUUGGCCUGUUGGUAUUGAUAGGUCUUUGUUGGAAAUAAGAGCUUGGAGUCGCAAAGAAAACGAGCACUCGAACAAAAGAUUUCUCAGCAAGGCAAAU
rnacentral:antisense_RNA from 1 species